AUUACAUUCAAUUCGAAGUUAGUUGUUUCAUUGUCAAGUUGUAACUAGACUUUAACAAUUUGUGAAAUUAAACAAAAAAAAAUUCUUUUUAUUCUUUUAGAAAAUAUUCAUAUUUCUAUUCUUAGUUCUUAAUUCAAUUUAAUAUGAGCUAUCCUCAAAAUGGAAACAGUCCUCUAGAUCAGCAGUUUGCUGCUCUGGAUAUGAAUCAGAACAAUGCCCCUCGAUUCGAUGCUGCUUCUGCUGCUCCAAUGCAAGCAAGAGGCUAUGUGAAUUCCAAUGAAAAUUUUCAGAAUCCUGAAAUGUACAAUCGUAGAGCCUAUAAUAAUCAAUACAAUGAUGGUGCUCGUGACUCAUACAAUCGCCCUAGAACAUUUAACAAUUCCGGUGAUCGUGGUGGCAAUCGAAAUUUCAAUGAUAAUCGCUAUCCACGUGAAAAUGGCUUUGUGAAUCGUGGCUACAACAAUAAUAAUCGAUUUUUUCCUCGAAGCAAUGCAAAUCUUGCAUGGCGAGAUCUUCCUCAGCCACAACAGCCUCAAAUGGAAAUUGCAAACGGAUUCCAGGCAGAGAAUCAGAACCGAAAUUUCUAUCCUCGGAACAAUGUUAAUGGAUUUGCUAAUAAUAAUCGAGUUAGCAGCGGUAAUUUUUAUCCACGAGGUCCACCACCUCAACAAGUUAAUCAAGAUUGGACAAACCCAUUGCCACGAAAUGAAGAAUAUGAAAAGCAUCUAUUUGCUGGCGUUCAUACUGGUAUUAAUUUCGAAAAAUAUGAAGAUAUUCCUGUAAAAGUUACUGGUGAAUGCUGUCCUCAGCCCAUCGAAUCUUUCGAUGAUUCUCAAUUGAAAUUAACUCCGAUCAUUGAAAAUAACGUUAAACUGGCCAAUUAUGAUAAACCGACUCCGGUGCAAAAGUAUGCCAUUCCCAUUAUAAUGGCUGGUCGUGAUUUAAUGGCUUGUGCACAAACUGGUUCUGGCAAAACUGCUGCUUUCCUUUUGCCCAUCUUGAAUAAUGCUUUCAUAUCUGGCCCUCCUGCUCCCCCACCUGUACGUCGACCUGGUGGCUUUCGAGCUCGACAUUUUCCGUUGAUUUUGAUUUUGGCACCAACACGAGAGUUGGCACUUCAGAUUUAUGAUGAAGCCAAAAAAUUUUCUUAUCGCUCCCGUGUCCGACCAUGUGUCGUCUAUGGUGGAUCCGACAUUGGUGCCCAAAUGCGAGAUUUGGACAAUGGAUGCCAACUUUUAGUUGCUACUCCAGGACGUUUGAUUGAUAUGGUGGAACGGCGAAAAGUUAGUUUGGAAAAGAUUGCUCAUCUUGUUUUGGAUGAAGCCGAUCGUAUGCUCGAUAUGGGUUUUGAACCACAAAUUCGCCAAAUCGUUGAACAAUGUGACAUGCCUGAAACUGGUGUUCGACAAACUUUGAUGUUUUCUGCCACGUUUCCAAAAAAAGUUCAAGAAUUGGCUACAAACUUUUUAGAAAAUUACAUUUUCCUCACUGUUGGACGUGUUGGAAGUACUUCGGAAAACAUAACCCAAAAAAUUGAAUGGGUCAAUGAGAACGACAAGCGUUCCUACUUGCUUGAUUUAUUGAACAACGAUGUUCAUCGUUCAGGCCCUGAUUCGUUGACUCUGAUCUUUGUUGAAACCAAAAAAGGUGUGGAUUAUCUGGAACAUUUCUUGGAACGAAAUGGUUGCCAUGUAAGCAGCAUCCAUGGUGAUCGAAAUCAAAAUGAUCGUGAAGAUGCAUUGUACAGCUUUAGAGCUGGUAGAACUCCAAUCAUGGUUGCAACAGCUGUUGCUGCUCGUGGUCUUGAUAUUCCCAAUGUCAAGCAUGUAAUCAAUUUCGACUUACCAAAUGAUAUUGAAGAAUAUGUUCAUCGGAUUGGUCGAACCGGUCGUGUGGGCAAUUUGGGUUUGGCCACAUCGUUUUUCAACGACAAGAAUAAAAACAUUGCCGUCAAUCUUUACGAACUUAUGGUUGAAUCAAAACAAACUAUUCCAGAUUUCUUGACCAACAUGGUUAAAUCGAUUAAUGCGGAAUCACGAAGCUCUUGGAAUCGUCACAAACCAGGCCCACGAAGAUAUGGAGCUGGUAGUUUUAUGUCACGAGAUUUCCGACAAUCUUAUGAUGAUCAUGGUGAAUCACCACGUUAUUCAAUGGCACCACCGCGACAAAUGAAUGGAUUUGUUAGUUACAACAAUUCAAAUCACAACAAUUCAUAUUCGCGUCCAUCCAACCCUCGCAACAAUGUUCCAAGUUGUUGGGAUUAAUUGUGAUUGGGUUGAUUUGAUCAAUCUGAAUCUACAAAAAAAAAUUGGCUCGUAUGACUUGGCAAUGAUGCGUUCCUUUUGAUUCUUUCCCUAUCGUCAAGUCAUAUCAUUUAAAAUUGGCAUCAUCAACAAUUAUUACGUUUAUUUAUGAAAUAAUGUGAAUCAAUUCAAUAAACAGCCAUCAGAAAAAAAUACACCAUUCACACCACCACAGCAACAGAAUUUUUAUGUAUCCAAUUUGUCCACACACACAUCAACAACACACAAACACACACAUUAUAUAUCAGUAGUAAAACGUAUUUAAUAAUAA